AUUAUACAGCGAACUGCGAAUGGCUCAUUAAAUCAGUUAUCGUUUAUUUGAUAGUGCCUUUUUACUCGGAUAACCGUGGUAAUUCUAGAGCUAAUACGUGCUACAAGUCCCGACUUCGGAAGGGACGUGUUUAUUAGAUUCAAAGCCAAUGCCUUCACGGGCUCGCUGGUGAUUCAUGAUAACCGCUCGAAUCGCACGGCCUCGCGCCGGCGAUGGUUCAUUCAAAUUUCUGCCCUAUCAACUUUCGAUGGCUGGGUAGUGGCCAGCCAUGGUGACAACGGGUAACGGAGGGUUAGGGCUCGACCCCGGAGAAGAAGCCAGAGUAACGGCUUCUACAUCCAAGGAAGGCAGCAGGCGCGCAAAUUACCCAAUCCCGACACGGGGAGGUAGUGACAAUAAAUACUGAUACAGGGCUCUUUCGGGUCUUGUAAUUGGAAUGAGUACAAUUUAAAUCCCUUAACGAGGAACAAUUGGAGGGCAAGUCUGGUGCCAGCAGCCGCGGUAAUUCCAGCUCCAAUAGCGUAUAUUAAAGUUGUUGCGGUUAAAAAGCUCGUAGUUGAAACUCGGGCCCGGCCGGCCGGUCCGCCUCACCGCGUGCACUGGCUCGGCUGGGCCUUUUCCACUGGAGAGCCUCAUGCCCUUCACUGGGUGUGAUGGGGAACCAGGACUUUUACUUUGAAUAAAUCAGAUCGCUCCAAGAAGGCCUUCGCCUGGAUGCAUUAGCAUGGAAUAAUGAAAUAGGACGUGCGGUUCUAUUUCGUUGGUUUCUAGGACCGCCGUAAUGAUUAAGAGGGACAGUCGGGGGCAUCAGUAUUCAGUUGUCAGAGGUGAAAUUCUUGGAUCUACUGAAGACUAACUACUGCGAAAGCAUUUGCCAAGGAUGUUUUCAUUAAUCAGGAACGAAAGUUGGGGGAUCGAAGACGAUCAGAUACCGUCGUAGUCUCAACCAUAAACCAUGCCGACUAGGGAUCGGACGAUGCUAUCUUAUGGCUCGUUCGGCACCUUACGCGAAA
rnacentral:rRNA from 1 species